GAAAGCCCACAUUGUUCAAGUGAGAUUUAUGUGUUAUAUAGUGUGUUUGCAUAGAGAACUUAUUUUUCCCACUUUAUCGAAUGCGUCUCAGUUUUACCGACGUUCCUGAAUGCACCACCUGUGUGCAUGCUUCUGCUCCGUUAGUGUUCUCCUUUCUUCCAUGCGGUCAAGAGCAGACAGUUUUCCUUCACCUCAUGCAGCAUUAGCUAUCCUGAUUCCCUGUUUUCCCGCUGUGUGUAAAUGAGAAGUGACCACAGCUAAAUAAAUGAAGGAUACUUCAA